AGGACGAACGCUGGCGGCGUGCUUAACACAUGCAAGUCGAGCGGAAAGGCCCUUCGGGGUACUCGAGCGGCGAACGGGUGAGUAACACGUGAGUAACCUGCCCUGGACUUUGGGAUAACCCUCGGAAACGGGGGCUAAUACCGGAUAUGACGACUCACCGCAUGGUGUGGUUGUGGAAAGUUUUUCGGUUUGGGAUGGGCUCGCGGACUAUCAGCUUGUUGGUGGGUGAUGGCCUACCAAGGCGACGACGGUUAGCCGGCCUGAGAGGGCGGCCGGCCACACUGGGACUGAGACACGGCCCAGACUCCUACGGGGAGCAGCAGUGGGGAAUAUUGCACAAGUGGGACGGAA
rnacentral:rRNA from 1 species